rnacentral:rRNA from 1 species
AGCAGCCGCGGUAAUUCCAGCUCCAAUAGCGUAUAUUAAAGUUGUUGCAGUUAAAAAGCUCGUAGUUGAAUUUCGGGAUCAGUUGAUCGGUCGUGCCUCGGUACGUACUGGUUAAAUUGAUUCCUACCUUCUGACGAACCACGAUGUCAUUAAUUUGAUGUCGCGGGAAAUCAGGACUGUUACUUUGAAAAAAUUAGAGUGUUUAAAGCAGGCUCGCGCUUGAAUACAUUAGCAUGGAAUAAUGAAAUAGGACGUUUGAUUCUAUUUUGUUGGUUUCUAGGAUCGACGUAAUGAUUAAUAGGGAUAGUUGGGGGCAUUAGUAUUCAAUUGUCAGAGGUGAAAUUCUUGGAUUUAUUGAAGACUAACUACUGCGAAAGCAUUUGCCAAGGAUGUUUUCAUUAAUCAAGAACGAAAGUUAGGGGAUCGAAGACGAUCAGAUACCGUCGUAGUCUUAACCAUAAACUAUAGCCGACUAGGGAUCGGAUGAUGUAAUUUUUAAUGACUCAUUCGCGCC